AGAGUUUGAUCAUGGCUCAGGAUCAACGCUUGCGGCGUGCAUCAAACAUGCAAGUCGAACGCACUGGCAACAGUGAGUGGCGCACGGCUGAGGAACACGUCGGUAACGUACCCCGUCGUGGGGGAUACCCGCCUGAAAGGGUGGUUAAUCCCGCAUACGGUUCCGGCAGGAUGCUGCGGGAACGAAAGGCGCAAGUCGCGAUGGGCGCGGUCGGCGGGCGAUUAGCUAGCUGGUGGGGUAACGGCCUACCAGGGCGAUGAUCGCUAGCGGGUCUGAGAGGAUGACCCGCCAGACUGGGACGGAGGACGGCCCAGACACCUACGGGUGGCAGCAGUUGGGAAUUUUGCACAAUGGGCGCAAGCCUGAUGCAGCAACGCCGCGUGGAGGAUGACGCGCUGUGGCGUGUAAACUCCUUUGGUCAGGGACGAUGAUGACGGUACCUGGCAAACAAGCCCCGGCUAACUACGUGCCAGCAGCCGCGGUAAUAC
rnacentral:rRNA from 1 species